rnacentral:rRNA from 1 species
UACAGAGGGGGCAAGCGUUAUUCGGAAUUAUUGGGCGUAAAGGGCGCGUAGGCGGCAUGGCAAGUGGAUGGUGAAAUCCCUCGGCUUAACCGAGGAACUGCCGUCCAAACUGCUUCGCUUGAGACCGGGAGAGGUGAGUGGAAUUCCCAGUGUAGCGGUGAAAUGCGUAGAUAUCAGGAGGAACACCGGUGGUGUAGACGGCCUUCUGGACCGUAACUGACGCUGAGACACGAAAGCGUGGGUAGCAAACAGG